rnacentral:tRNA from 1 species
UUAAUUGAAACCAAACCAGAGGUAUACCAUUGUUAAUGGCAUCAUUGGCCUUCAGCCUAAUUAAA